rnacentral:rRNA from 1 species
AUGAUUGCGCGGGUGGGACUUGCUUGUAAAAACCAUCCUUCGCUAGAUGUGACUACCCGAUGGAAUUCAACGUACCUAAUGCUUGAAUCAUCUUUGCCGUUCAGAGCAGCGUUCAAAGCCUGGAAAGAAACUAACAAAGAUUAUAAAUUUGCUCCUUCAGCUAGUGAAUGGGAGAUGGCCACAGCUAUUUGCCAUCUUUUGGGCACUUUUUACACAGCCACAAAGAAAAUCUCGGGUAGGACAUAUCCCACCUCUCACCUGUACUUCUAUGAGGUCUGGAAUGUGAAGAAGAUAAUGGAGAAAGAAGUCGUAAGUGAAAAUCCUACCAUUGUUGCCAUGGUGAAAGAGAUGGAGAAGAAAUGGAUCAAAUAUUUUGAGGAGUCAUUCUUAACAAGUUGUCUGCCGCUGAUAUUUGAUCCAAGGUACAAAUAUGAAUAUGUUGACUUCCGACUGACUGCAGCUUUUGGUGGCGGUGCCAAGAAGUAUCUUACCCAGGUGAAUAGUGCGAUGAAGAUCCUAUUUGUUGAAUAUGCAUCUGAAUUUGGAAACACUUCUGAUGAAGGUGACGAGGUUGCAGAGGAGGAUGGCGAGGGCACUCUUGAUGACUGGGAUAAGCAUUUGAGAUUGAAAAGAUCCCACAACUCAAAUGAGCUACAACGAUAUCUUGAAGAAGAUUUGUCUCCUCGUCGACAGAAGUUGGAUAUCUUAAAGUGGUGGGAAAUCCAGUCCCCAAAGUAUCCGGUGCUUGCGGCUAUAGCGCGGGACAUAUUGGCAGUGUCCGCGGCUACCGUGCCUGCAGAGGCUGCAUUCAGUAAUGCUGGAAGGAUCAGCACCGAGCAAAGAAGUAGUUUGACCCCGAGUACUGUUGAGACACUGAUGUGCCUCGAGGAUUGGCUUCGAGCUCCUGAUCGCCAAAAGGUGGAGCCAAUAGUUGGAGACCGCGGUGAUGAUCAACAAGAUGCUGGAACAACCUAG